rnacentral:lncRNA from 1 species
CUGCUGAAGCCCUUCAGUAGGGCUCUGUGCAUAACUGCUCCCAGCCAGUGGAUGUGCCUGCUAGAGUGCUUCACUGCUCAGCAGCAUCUGGAGGUGACAGCAUCACCAGCCACAUGUGCUGGGAAUGUGUCUCAGGAGCAUGGUUAAACCCACCAAAUAAUGCAGGGCAGACUGCAGCCUGCCAAGCUCGGGGACGGAUCCUCAGCUGAUGUUCUGCAGUGCUGGCUUCUACCAGUGCAUUCUGAAGCGACGGCUGCUUCUCCCACGGUGACGUGCUGCCAGCUCCCCAGCCAGGCCACUGCAGCAGAGGGGCACCGGAGUGACUGGAGCACCGUCCUACCCACCUGAGCGGUGCUCAUCCUGUGCCAAAGUCCACUUCGUGUCAUUGCUGUGAUUAGAGGCAGUAUCUGAAGAACCCCAGUGAGCACAGAGUGCCUCGUGAUGUCAGUCCUGACCUGAGUGGAUGCGAUGCAAUCACUGGUUAUGUGCACAGAAUCCUCCCCACGAUACGAAAUACGAUGACACAGAUCCCCAGUCCCUGUCCUUCACAUUGCACACCUACUUUCUGUACCUGAAGGAACUGGGCUGUGAAUGUUGGCCAUGGACACACAGAGCUGUAAGAACCCAGGGAGGGGAGGGGGUAAAAACAGAAAAGGU